rnacentral:rRNA from 1 species
GAGUUUGAUCCUGGCUCAGGAUGAACGCUGGCGGCAUGCCUAAUACAUGCAAGUCGAACGAAGCUGAUUGGAAGCUUGCUUCUGAAAGGCUUAGUGGCGAACGGGUGAGUAACACGUAGGGAACCUGCCCAGAUCACGGGGAUAACGGUUGGAAACGACAGCUAAGACCGGAUAGGUGAUGACGAGGCAUCUUGUCAUCAUGAAAAGAGCUACGGCUCUGGAGCUGGAUGGACCUGCGGCGCAUUAGCUAGUUGGUGAGGUAACGGCCCACCAAGGCAAUGAUGCGUAGCCGGCCUGAGAGGGCGAACGGCCACAUUGGGACUGAGACACGGCCCAAACUCCUACGGGAGGCAGCAGUAGGGAAUUUUCGUCAAUGGGGGCAACCCUGAACGAGCAAUGCCGCGUGAGUGAAGAAGGUCUUCGGAUCGUAAAGCUCUGUUGUAAGAGAAAAACGGCCGCCAUAGGGAAUGAUGGCGGAGUGAUGGUAUCUUACCAGAAAGCCACGGCUAACUACGUGCCAGCAGCCGCGGUAAUUC